rnacentral:rRNA from 1 species
GUCUGAUGGAGCACGCCGCGUGAGUGAAGAAGGUUUUCGGAUCGUAAAGCUCUGUUGUUGGUGAAGAAAGAUAGUGAGAGUAACUGCUCAUUAUUUGCCGGUAAUCAACCAGAAAGUCACGGCUAACUACGUGCCAGCAGCCGCGGUAAUACGUAGGUGGCAAGCGUUGUCCGGAUUUAUUGGGCGUAAAGCGAGCGCAGGCGGAAAGAUAAGUCAGAUGUGAAAGCCCUCGGCUUAACCGAGGAAUAGCAUCGGAAACUGUCUUUCUUGAGUGCAGAAGAGGAGAGUGGAACUCCAUGGGUAGCGGUGAAAUC